UCGAGAAUCUUCGGCAAUGGGCGAAAGCCUGACCGAGCGACGCCGCGUGCGGGAUGAAGGCCUUCGGGUUGUAAACCGCUGUUGUUGGGGAUGAAAUCUCUGGGGGUUCUCCCCCAGAGUUGACAGAUCCAAUGAGGAAGUCCGGGCUAAGUUCGUGCCAGCAGCCGCGGUAAUACGAACCGGACAAACGUUAUUCGGAUUCACUGGGCUUAAAGAGUGCGUAGGCGGUCUACCAAGUUGGGUGUGAAAUCCCUCGGCUCAACCGAGGAAUUGCGCUCAAAACUGGCAGACUCGAGGAAGGCAGGGGUAAGCGGAACUGAUGGUGGAGCGGUGAAAUGCGUUGAUAUCAUCAGGAACACCAGUGGCGAAGGCGGCUUACUGGGCCUUUUCUGACGCUGAGGCACGAAAGCUAGGGUAGCGAACGGG
rnacentral:rRNA from 1 species